rnacentral:misc_RNA from 1 species
GAUGAAGAACGUAGCGAAAUGCGAUAAGUAAUGUGAAUUGCAGAAUUCAGUGAAUCAUCGAAUCUUUGAACGCACAUUGCGCCCGGUAGUAUUCUGCCGGGCAUGCCUGUUCGAGCGUCAUUUCAACCAUCAAGCCCCAGCGCUUGUGUUGGGGGCCUGCGGCUGCCGCAGCCCCCUAAAAGCAGUGGCGGGCUCGCUAUCACACCGAGUGCAGUAGUUCAUCUUCUCUCCUGUCUUGUGAGGCGGGUUCCGGCCGUGAAACACCCCACUACAUUCAAGGUUGACCUCGGAUCAGGUAGGAAUACCCGCUGAACUUAAGCAUAUCAAUAAGCGGAGGA